AUACUUACCUGGCAGGGGAAAUACCAUGAUCAAGAAGGUGGUUCACCUAGGGUGAGGCUCAGCCAUUGCACUCCGGCUGUGCUGACCCUUACGAAUUCCCCAAAUGUGGGAAUCUCGACUGCAUAAUUUGUGGUAGUGGGGGACUGCGUUCGCGCUCUCCCCUG